GGAUGUGAGGGUGAUCUGGCUGUGACAUCUGUCACAUUAGCGAUUGCCAGGGUUGAUUUGGCUGAUAUGGCUGGCAUGGCAUCUGUCCCGUCUUCCUUUCCCAUUGCUUC
rnacentral:sRNA from 1 species